AUACCCUUCUCGGCCUUUUGGGCUAAGAUCAAGUGUAGUAUCGAUAUGUGGACCAUAUGUCCACACCGAUAUUAAAUUUAUUUAUUUUUUAUGGCGGAGAGUCGGCAACAAUAGCUUGCUAUUGGGGCUCUCGUGUGUCGCCUGGUCGUUGCAUUGCUGACCGGGCCGGCGCACCCCAA
rnacentral:snRNA from 1 species